rnacentral:lncRNA from 1 species
UAAAACCUUCCCCAUGGCAAUUCCAUCAUCAAAUUUAACAACACUUUCACCAAUUUAUGAAUAACAUUUAAACUUUCACACAUUCAUCAAUGGUAAAACUUCAUACGCAUAUAUUCAUGACAGUUCAUACAUGGAUUCAUCAUAGUAACACAUAUAAACACAAGAUCUAUCAACAAUUUUCAGAAACUCAUCAUAAACCAUUCAUAAGAAGAAAAACUAAGAAUCCUAAUGAGGUUAAGGACUCCUCA